rnacentral:rRNA from 1 species
AGACGGAGGUGGCGAGCGUUAUCCGGAAUUACUGGGCGUAAAGGGUCCGCAGGCGGCUGGUCAAGUCGGCGGUGAAAGCUCCCGGCUCAACUGGGAGAGGUCCGUCGAAACUGGCCAGCUCGAGGGUCGGAGAGGGGGGUGGAAUUCCCGGUGUAGCGGUGAAAUGCGCAGAUAUCGGGAGGAACACCGGUGGCGAAGGCGGCCCCCUGGCCGACGCCUGACGCUCAGGGACGAAAGCGUGGGGAGCGAUCGGGAUUAGAUACCCUAGUAGUCC